CAGGCUUAGUUUGCUUUGGAUAAAAUUUGUUCAAAUCAACAUGCAUUGUUUCCUAUCAUCGAACCUAGCCAAGUGCAAUCUAUAUCCUCUACUGAUUAUGUGAAAAUACCUACUGAUGGAGCUGAUGUCUGGGAAAUUGAUGCUAGCCUGCUGAAAUUUGAAAGCAGCGUUGGAUCUGGUUCAUUUGGUGAUCUGUAUAAAGGCACAUACUGCAGUCAGGAGGUGGCUAUCAAAGUCCUCAAGCCUGAUCUUGUGGAUAAAGAUAUGCUGAGAGAGUUUGCCCAGGAAGUGUUCAUUAUGAGGUCUGUU